rnacentral:lncRNA from 1 species
GUCACACUUGACACUUCACACCAUUCACCAAAAUAACUGGUCAUGCUCGUUUAUUAAUCAAAAUAAAACAUUGCACAAUUCGCAGCGGAUAGAAAUCUAACAACAUGCAAACCAUGUAACACAUUACAUGUAAAAUUGUUCAACAACCAAAAAUGAAAACAAAGUAAAACAUCCCGUCCCGAUGUUACAUAUACCAGAGCAUGACCCACUAAGGAACUACACUAGACUCCAAGCACUAGCUUCUACUCAAUCACUGCUCGUUACCUGAAACAUAGUUGUAAGGGUGAGUUCCUCAAUCGAUAUAAUAAGCAUUAUAAAAUAUCAUGUAAUGCUAAGUAAAUUAACACAUUCAUCACCCUAAUCAUAUCACACAUUCAGCAACGGCAACAUCAACUCAUAAUCAUACUCAACACAAACACAAAACACACGUAUAAUAUUGGAAUACAUCCAUUCAUAUUAUACGCCAUACAUACAUUAUGAAAUGAGACUCCAUGCAUGCGGUACCGACUAUUCGUGAACACAUAGUUCAACCUCACCGAUCAAACCCAGAUACGGCUACCAAGCUCACUAGUCCCACUCAUUUGAGACCUAGUGACUCACUCACUAAUUCCUCACCAUGGGAAUUAGCUACCACCAUAAAGGCCAUGCUAUGCACGCUAAAUCACCUAGCAUGCAAACAUCAACAACAAUCCACAAUGGACAUAUGCUCACACUCUAAGCCAUAAACAGUCCAUCCACAAUUGCAUACAUAAUAGAUAUAUUCACAGCAUUAUGCAUACCAUCAUACAUCAUCAGCAUAUUUAUCACAGAAUCAUAUCAUGUCAUGCCAAAUAAUAAAUCACAGUAUUAGCACACUCUACUAAUACCUAUACUGCUCAAAACAACGGGAAAUGAUCCCUACUAUAUCAUACAUGCAAUAUAUCAUUCACCAAUAUAGGCCAAUCGUCAAAUAUGUACACAUAAUUCCAUUCCAAAACGUACACAAUAUUUAAUUAUCAAUUUUUCACUUUUCAAACAGUGUUAACCCGUUAACGCAUUUGGUUAACCUGUUAACGCAAGACAAAAUACAAUUUUUCAGUAUUUCAACAGUGUUAACCGGUUAACGCCCUGGGUUAACCUGUUAACGCAAGACAGAAUGCACUUCUAACAGGAUUUUAACAGUGUUAACCGGUUAACGCCCUGGGUUAACCUGUUAACGCAAGACAGAAUGCAAUUCUAACAGGAUUUUAACAGCGUUAACCUGUUAACGCAUUUGGUUAACCCGUUAACGCAAGACAGAAUACGUUUUUGGCAAAUUAUAACAGUGUUAACCCGUUAACGCCCUGGGUUAACCCGUUAACGCAAAACAGAAAUUAACGCAUUUUUCGCCGUUGGAGGACUUCCGGACCUCCGAUUUCGAUUCCGUAAAAAGCUACACUUCCAGGAAAUUACGACUCAUCCAAAUAUAGGUUCAUUCACAGUUUUAACGUAAUUUAUUCAUCACCAUUCCAAGGUAUUCAUCAAAACCUAAUUAGAGUCGAUUCAAUGGCUUAUUACUACCCAUUACAUGUUAACCCAUAAUACCCAUUAAACGACGAUAAACCCCCUUACCUGAGUAAAUCCGGCGAAUCCUUUAACUUCAAGCUUUUCCCUUCUUCAACCCUUUUUCUCUUGCUCUUCCUUUUUGCCCCUUUUCCACUUCUUAGUCGCUUCUCUCUGUUUUCACGUGCCGAUAGAAAACUCUCUCUAGCCUUUCCACUUCCUUCUUAUAAUAACAAAAUUCUUAAAUUGGAUUUCUCUCUUCUACCCUCGAUUAUUCAUAAAAUUUCCAAUUUUAUUAUUCCAAUAAUAAUAAUCCAAUAAUAUUCCAAUUAUUUAAUUAAAUUAAUAAUUAUCAUAUUUUAUCGGGGUGUUACAUUUACGGGGCAGAGAGAAGUCAGGGUCAACAACCGACCUACAACUCCUUUAGAAGUAAGGAUUCAAUGGUCCACCAUUGACUAAGUGAGAUGUGACCUUUUCCAAGGAAAUCAUAGACCAAAAGCCUCUAUAAAUACCUCCUCCCAAAGGGAGGUAAGGGAGAACCUAAUUGACACGUUUAUACCUAAGCGUGAAACACAUAUAUAAAGCCUCUCACCUCACAUCAGCAUGUCCUCUAAACAACCAUACAAAGCUUUUUGCGGUCGUGGACAAGUCCUAACCACCAUACAUGACUUCUCACCAUAAUGGGCAAGCGCUAACCACCAUACAACAUAAGAUACCUAAUAAGGUGUCUGAGUGCCCUUACCUUGCAUAGGUAACAUGCACACCUGCACUUUUUGACCAAUACAAAAUGCUUUGAUUUAUUUAGCAAUUUUUUUGAUAUUAAACAUAGUUUUACAUAUAUAUACAACUUUGUAUUUUUUUUUUAAAUGAGACCUUCUAUUUUUGAGGCCAUGUAUUAAUCUGUUUGCUCUUUUAUAUAGGACCGGCUCUAAAAAUAAUUGAUGUCUUAUUGCCCGAGUGUCUUUUGUAGAUUUAUCUUAUUAAGAGAAACAAGAAUUUUUUUAAAAGUGAAAUAAUAAUGUCCAAAAAAUUUUAAAAAAGAAAUUCUUAAAUUUAUUUUUUAAGUACCAGCAUCUUAACUUACAAAAUAAUUAUACACUUGAAAAUAAAAUAGUUCUCUUUCAACUUUAAUGUUCUGGUAACUCACAUAAACACAAAAACACACGACACCUCAUAACAAAAGCCUUGCCGCAUAUAUUAGAAUCACAAUCAUCAGUAGUAUAGCAGAAUAUUUUAUCUGUCAUGUUAAAUAAAAAUUAAGGAAAAUAUUUAAUUAAGAUGAUUUGAAAUAUGUGUAAAGAAACUUACUAUCGCUGGUUACAAGAACAAUAAGAGAAAAAAAUAUAAUCAAAAUAUGGACGAAUUUGAAAAUUUCAGCCAUUUUCCCCCUCAAUUUCAUGUAUUAAAAAAUGACUGAUCCCUUUUU